UGGUGGUGGUUGUGGUGA
rnacentral:siRNA from 1 species